UACGUAGGGGGCAAGCGUUGUCCGGAUUUAUUGGGCGUAAAGAGCUCGUAGGCGGCUUGUCGCGUCGGCUGUGAAAACCCGGGGCUCAACCCCGGGCCUGCAGUCGAUACGGGCAGGCUAGAGUCCGGCAGGGGAGACUGGAAUUCCUGGUGUAGCGGUGAAAUGCGCAGAUAUCAGGAGGAACACCGAUGGCGAAGGCAGGUCUCUGGGCAUUAACUGACGCUGAGGAGCGAAAGCAUGGGGAGCGAACAGG
rnacentral:rRNA from 1 species